rnacentral:rRNA from 1 species
UUCGCCCUUAGAGUUUGAUCCUGGCUCAGGACGAACGCUGGCGGCGUGCCUAACACAUGCAAGUCGAGCGAGUGGAGUUCUUCGGAACAAAGCUAGCGGCGGACGGGUGAGUAACACGUGGGCAACCUGCCUCAUAGAGGGGAAUAGCCUCCCGAAAGGGAGAUUAAUACCGCAUAAGAUUGUAGCUUCGCAUGAAGUAGCAAUUAAAGGAGCAAUCCGCUAUGAGAUGGGCCCGCGGCGCAUUAGCUAGUUGGUGAGGUAACGGCUCACCAAGGCGACGAUGCGUAGCCGACCUGAGAGGGUGAUCGGCCACAUUGGGACUGAGACACGGCCCAGACUCCUACGGGAGGCAGCAGUGGGGAAUAUUGCACAAUGGGGGAAACCCUGAUGCAGCAACGCCGCGUGAGUGAUGACGGCCUUCGGGUUGUAAAGCUCUGUCUUCAGGGACGAUAAUGACGGUACCUGAGGAGGAAGCCACGGCUAACUACGUGCCAGCAGCCGCGGUAAUACGUAGGUGGCGAGCGUUGUCCGGAUUUACUGGGCGUAAAGGGAGCGUAGGCGGACUUUUAAGUGAGAUGUGAAAUACCCGGGCUCAACUUGGGUGCUGCAUUUCAAACUGGAAGUCUAGAGUGCAGGAGAGGAGAAUGGAAUUCCUAGUGUAGCGGUGAAAUGCGUAGAGAUUAGGAAGAACACCAGUGGCGAAGGCGAUUCUCUGGACUGUAACUGACGCUGAGGCUCGAAAGCGUGGGGAGCAAACAGGAUUAGGUACCCUGGUAGUCCACGCCGUAAACGAUGAAUACAAGGUGUAAGGGGUUGUCAUGACCUUCCGUGCCGCCGCUAACGCAUUAAGUAUUCCGCCUGGGGGAGUACGGUCGCAAGAUUAAAACUCAAAGGAAUUGGCGGGGGCCCGCACAAGCAAGCGAAGCAUGUGGUUUAAUUAGAAGCAACGCGAGAGAACCUUACCUAGACUGGACAUCUCUUGCAUUUACCCUGAAUCGGGGAAGUUCAUUCGGGAACAGGAAGACAGGUGGUGCAUGGUUGUCGUCAGCUCGUGUCGUGAGAUGUUGGGUUAAGUCCCGCAACGAGCGCAACCCUUAUUGUUAGUUGCUACCAUUUAGUUGAGCACUCUAGCGAGACUGCCCGGGUUAACCGGGAGGAAGGUGGGGAUGACGUCAAAUCAUCAUGCCCCUUAUGUCUAGGGCUACACACGUGCUACAAUGGCAAGUACAAAGAGAAGCAAGACCGCGAGGUGGAGCAAAACUCAAAAACUUGUCUCAGUUCGGAUUGUAGGCUGAAACUCGCCUACAUGAAGCUGGAGUUGCUAGUAAUCGCGAAUCAGCAUGUCGCGGUGAAUACGUUCCCGGGCCUUGUACACACCGCCCGUCA